rnacentral:rRNA from 1 species
GAUGAACGCUGGCGGCGUGCCUAAUACAUGCAAGUCGAGCGAACAGACGAGGAGCUUGCUCCUCUGCUGUUAGCGGCGGACGGGUGAGUAACACGUGGAUAACCUACCUAUAAGACUGGGAUAACUUCGGGAAACCGGAGCUAAUAUCGGAUAACAUGUUGAACCGCAUGGUUCAACAGUGCAAGACGUUCUUGCUGUCACUUAUAGAUGGAUCCGCGCCGCAUUAGCUAGUUGGUAGGGUAACGGCCUACCAAGGCAACGAUGCGUAGCCGACCUGAGAGGGUGAUCGGCCACACUGGAACUGAGACACGGUCCAGACUCCUACGGGAGGCAGCAGUAGGGAAUCUUCCGCAAUGGGCGAAAGCCUGACGGAGCAACGCUGCGUGAGUGAAGAAGGUCUUCGGAUCGUAAAACUCUGUUAUUAGGGAAGAACAAAUGUGUAAGUAACUAUGCACGUCUUGACGGUACCUAAUCAGAAAGCCACGGCUAACUACGUG